AUGAUUUUCCUCUAAAAUACAUAAAGACUCAGCCCUGGCUGCUGCCACAGCCCCUGUUGCUGCUAGUGCUGCUAGUGCUGCCACAAACCAGAGGUCUAUUCUCAGGGUGCCACUGCCACCACCACCCAGUCACUGCCCAGAGGUCCACUGCCAUCUCCAUCUCGGGGUGCAGCCACCUCCAUAUAGGGACACCAGCCAGUGCCUGGAGGUCCAGUGUCAGGGUCCCUGAAGGUUUGGCUGCACCUGAGAUCUUCCUGUUGGAAGUGCUAUUGGCUGUCAUCUGGUUGCUUGUUCACUUUUGUGUGAGUGCAUUCUUGGUGGUCUCCCUGCAAGUUGGAACAGCACUGAGAUCUUGGGAAUGCAGCAUGGCCAAUCCUGGAGUAUCUGAAGCCCAGAUCCAUCAGAUAGUGACUAGGUCUGUGUGGGCCCAUCUGGGCCUGGCAAUCCCAUGAAAAGACAGAGAUAAUACUCUGUAUUCACAAUCAGAUCAUAAUGGAAUGAAAUUAGAAAUCAACAAUAAAAUAAAAAAUAGAAGCUACUCUAACAAAUGGAGACUAAAUGAUACACUACUGAAUGAUGAAUGAGUAACAUCACCAACUCAAUAGACAUUUGGCACUGUUGUGGUAAUGGUUUGUGCACUGUGUUGCCUUGACAAAUCAUUGUGGGAAUGUCAAGAGUCAUUCCUGGGCUGUGUGUGGACUAGAUUGGCAUUGAAGCCUAGUGAAUAGGAGAAUCUGAUGUCUGGGAACUUCCAGUGGAAAUUUCCUCUGGCUAAGACUGCCCAGACAGAUUAUGAACUCUAUUCAAGCUCUGCUAGUCCCACAUAGCACCAGAGAUGGGGUGACUUGCUGCAGUUACAUAGCCUCUCUGAGAUGGGUGACUUGCCAAGACACCAUGAAGCAAGACUCCAUCCCUGAAAUCUUAUCUUGCCUUUGAGGUGGCUUACAUCAUCCUGAGCAGGAAGAAGGACCUUUAGCAGUGCUGGUCAUCUCCUCUAUGGAGGAGUGGCUGGGUCAUAUAAUUCACGGACCACAUUUCUGAAAUUUAGUCUGGUGGAUACAACACCUUCAUUUUAUUUUUAUGUGGAGCUGAGGAUCAAACUCAAUGCCUCCUGAGUGCUAGGAGCCUCAAUGAGCCGCAACUGGAGCCCUAGAAACCACUGUCUUGACAAAGGCAUUGAGGCCUUUGGAGAAAGAAAAGACAAGAGCCUCUAAAAGAAAUUCAACAUAUCCAAAUUAAGUCUUCUUGUGAGGUGGCAGGAAAAAGAAGUCAAUCAUAUUAGGACCAGUAUAGAUUUUGCUGCACACCCACAGGUGAAAAUAAUAACAUUUGUAUCAUCUACUACUGUAAAUUUACAGCUUCAGCUUCCUUGUAAGAAAGACAAAGGACAAAGUCAUCAUGAGUUGUUUUACAAAGUUCUUGUAUGGUUUCAACUGAAAAUGUAUUACAUUUUAUUUAAUUAUUUUUUACCUUUUAAAAACUGUAUUGGUGCAUUGUAAUUAUAAUACAUAAUCAUGAAAAUAUAAAUAACUACAAACAAAUUCGAUGUUUGAUUUGUUUAUAUGGCAUAGACAGAUUUAUUUGAUUUAAAAUA